UCCGAGUUGACCCCGGCAGUCUCUCACGAGUCCCCACCAUUACGUGCUGGCAACAUGAGACAAGGGUUGCGCUCGUUGCGGGACUUAACCCAACAUCUCACGACACGAGCUGACGACAGCCAUGCAGCACCUGUGUGCCGGUUCUCUUUCGAGCACCCCCGCAUCUCUGCAGGGUUCCGGCCAUGUCAAGGGUAGGUAAGGUUUUUCGCGUUGCAUCGAAUUAAUCCACAUCAUCCACCGCUUGUGCGGGUCCCCGUCAAUUCCUUUGAGUUUUAAUCUUGCGACCGUACUCCCCAGGCGGUCAACUUCACGCGUUAGCUGCGUUACCAAGUCAAUUAAGACCCGACAACUAGUUGACAUCGUUUAGGGCGUGGACUAC
rnacentral:misc_RNA from 1 species